GGCGAAUUUCCUAAAGGGGGCGAAAUUCCUAGGAUUUUCGCCCCCCUGGGGGGGCGAUAUUCCUAGGAAUUUCGCCCCCCGGGGGGCGAAAGUGUAGGGGGGGCGAAAAUCCAUUUUCGCCCCCCCUACAUUUUCGCCCCCCGGGGGGCGAAAUUCCUAGGAAUAUCGCCCCCCUGGGGGGGCGAAAAUCCUAGGAAUUUCGCCCCCCUU